GACGUAGGGCGCGAGCGUUGUCCGGAUUUAUUGGGCGUAAAGAGCUCGUAGGCGGCUUGUCGCGUCGACUGUGAAAACCCGCGGCUCAACUGUGGGCUUGCAGUCGAUACGGGCAGGCUGGAGUUCGGUAGGGGAGACUGGAAUUCCUGGUGUAGCGGUGAAAUGCGCAGAUAUCAGGAGGAACACCGGUGGCGAAGGCGGCUUCCUGGACCGACACUGACGCUGAGGCGCGAAAGCUAGGGGAGCAAACGGG
rnacentral:rRNA from 1 species